UGUGCCCAAGCAGCCUGGUUGAGAAUAUGUCCUGAGGACCCAUUUGUCUCUUUUAUGGCAGUGGAUAUAUUUUUAAGCCUCUGGAUAACAGGAGCAGGAUCUGAAUCCUGUGUUUCUGCAGGGAGAGCUCAGCUGAAAUAUCAGUCCACUAGGAAAGCUGAGGAGGUAAUUUGCAUUUGCUCUGUGAGUCUUGUGCCAAGCAGCUGUUACCACUUUCCUCGAGCUGGCAUAUCCAGGGAGGGAAAAGAAUAGAGGAAGCACAUCUAUGUCCUUGUGUGAGAGUCAGCCUCUGCAGGUGCCAAGCUGGAGUGUAUGCUCAAAUAUACCCGCAUGCUUCCAGUGACUCCACAUGGUGCCAUUGACUAUGGUCCCAGACCGGUUGGCAACAUUAGCAGCAACAGAAAGUGCCUUUGGUCCUGUGGAUGGACACCUCUUCAGCUGAUUGAUGUAAACACACUUUAGAAUGGUUCUCGGAAAUUGCUUUGGGGUUCUGUGCAAACAAUCAGGUUAAAAGCAUAGAUUUCUAAUUAAAAAUUCCACAUACCCCAUUAAACUGUCAGUAUAGCAUAUCAUUCUGGCUCUUCCUUCCUGUUGGGAUGCCUUGACCUGUUCCCUGGAUUAGGCAUAUAAACUCUUCCUCUGCUAGCCCACCCUUCUUGGCACUUUGGUCAACUUCUGUUCUCCAAGUUUGGCCAGCUGGCUACAGCUCCUCUGUAACAAGCAGCCUUCACAUCCCAUAGCCACAGCCGGCAUACUCUGUGCGACUCUAUCCACAUGGCAGGAGGUCUGAAUUUGUUAUUGCUCUUGGCAGAUUACAUACAGAUAUGGAAAUGAGAUAAUUCAUUAAUUCAUAUCAAAUUACUUGGAUAUUGGCUACUAGUGGCUUCCUACCCUUUCCAACAUCUGAGUUGUCUUAUCCAACAAAAUAAGAGGUAAUGCUAUCUAACCUCUCUAGCUGGGAGUUGUGCUGAAAACUCUGUGCAUACACUGAUCGUUAAUAUUUCUGCCAAAUUUAGGUGUGGAAAAUGACAAAGUUACUUCCUCCAGCUGUUUUUCUUAUAAACUUGUUGGAGAUACUUGCCCACUGCAGUAAGGC